rnacentral:rRNA from 1 species
UACGUAGGGUGCGAGCGUUGUCCGGAAUUAUUGGGCGUAAAGAGCUCGUAGGCGGUCUGUCGCGUCGGAUCGUGAAAACUUGGGGCUUAACCCUGAGCUUGCGGUCGAUACGGGCAUGACUGGAGUUCGGCAGGGGAGACUGGAAUUCCUGGUGUAGCGGUGAAAUGCGUAGAUAUCUGGAGGAACACCGGUGGCGAAGGCGGCAUCCUGGACCGGCAUUGACGCUGAGGCGCGAAAGCCAGGG